rnacentral:lncRNA from 1 species
GCUGAUCCCCGCUGAGUAUGUUUGCUAUCAACGCAACCCGGUGUGUAGAGUACUGUAUUUGUUAGUAGCUGCAGUAUGAUUAAAAAAUGCAUUGUGCUUUAGACUAAUGGUGAAUAAGCAAAAAUGCUUGUCAAUUCGGAUGUAAUAUUGGUAUAUUUACCGUAAAUGGCGUAUUUGUGUUUUUUUUUUCUCCAACACAAUGUCUGGAGUCCCAGUGUUGGAUACGCUCUUCCUACUUAUGUCCUUGAGCGAGACACUGAGCCUUCACUUCCAGUGUGUUUUCCUGCUCCCUCAGGUCACACAAGGAAGCAGGGACAGAGAAUGUGGGCAUAUGAGAGAAGGAAAGGAAAUGAAGGAGAACACACGAGGAAACCGACACAAAGCCACAGUGAGAAGUAGGGAGACGAUGGGGAGGUGCCACGUCAUGCCUGAAGCUCCAGAGCAUUCACAGUCUCGCUCAAGGAUGCUUCAACCAGGACCUACGCCCGCUGUCAAGUGGCUUGAACCCAGGUCUUCCAGACGAAGGUCGCUCCACUUAAUCACUGCCUCUGCAGAAUGGGAGCGUCAUGAUAUAUGUAACCAGACCACUGACAGGGUUUUGGACAAGAUUUUGGCAGAGAAGCCCUUUUUGUUUGCGGCACCUCCAACUUGUUUCUGGCGGUUUGCAGCUCCUCUCGUCUCCACGAGCGCUGGCGCCGGUGGAGCUGCGCUAAUAGAACAUGGCCGCGCGCCCGUUUUGGCACCGUGUCACUUAUCGACAGAGCAGCGGACACUUUCUCAACUCCAAAUUCUUGCCGCGGGACAUUUUCUGGCAGGAGGAAUCAGUGCUGAAAGCCACACGCGCGCUCGGAGAGGACGCAUGAGGCGCAGACGUGGUGGCGGUGGGCGGGAGGUGCGAACAUGUAAAUGACAGGCGUGUGGACCAGAAUAACCAGGCAGCAUGUGCCGCGGUUCCCCUCCCCUCACACGCAUGAGUGCAGGAGGGAGAGGAAGAAGGUCAAACUGCACCACAGGCCUAAUUUAGACCCUCUAGUUUCCAGCAUCACUGAUCUGCUUCAUUCAUCUGCAAUCACGCUCACCUCUUGCCUCUUGUUGUUAACUCAGUUAAUUACUUGAGUAAUUAUGGAUGUGACACUGCAG